AAAGUCUGGCUCCAGUUGAGUCACAGCAACAGGUGGCUGUUCCUCUGAACAACAGGGGUUGCUAGCACAUAAAUGUUUGCAUUCAAAUACCUCUUCAGAAAAACAGACCGCAGAGGAGGCCAUGUGGCAGCAUGUCUGCCAGAAAGGCAGCCCAGGCCUUCCUGACUGUAAUCAAGAGCCGAUGCCAAGGCAGGGAAGUUACACACAGCCGGAGGAAUUUCAAGGUCGGGAGAACAAACCUAUCCCAGGGAAGCCAGCAAAUUCCUUGCUGAUGGAGCCCUCUGAUUUAUCUGGAAGGCCGAACCAGAGAGGAAAUCACAGGCCUGCAUAGCAUAGAGUGAUAACCUUGGGUUAGCGCAAUAUAAACCUCAGGCGUUAUUUUCUGCAUCCCAACCUGAACGGACCUUGGUGCGUUAGUACUGCAAACAAAAGCCAAAGCUGUGUGACUGGUACCCAGAUGUCCUGGAGGACCCUGGGCUUAGAGAAGACUUGUUCGAGGACCUGGGCAUCUGCAGUUCUACUCUGCCAUGCUCACACAGAGCUGGUGCAUCUUAGCAAGCAACAGACAACCAAAGAGAGCAUGGAUCCCUUCCAUAUCUGCGGCAAAGGUUUUCCCUUCAAGAUGACUUCAAGGCAAAAGUUGGGUUGAUUUUAAGCAGACACAUCAGAUGAUCAGACUCUGAAGAGUCACACUAGAAAGCUGAUGAUUUUUCUUGGUACAUUGUCAUGCAGAUUUAGGGCUGGAGAGGUGGCUCAGAGGUUAAGAGCACGGGCUGCUCUUGUAGAGGACCCAGGUUCAGUUCCCAGCACCCACAUCAGGUGGCUCACAAGCAUCUGUAACUGCAGCUUAGCUCCAGGGAGCCAAAGUCUCUGACCUCUGAGGCUGUCAUACAGAGACACUCAUAUACCUAUAAAUAAAUAAACAUAAGGUUUUAGAAGGCAAUGUUGUUUGGGAGGUGUGUCUCCACAUUUUUAGUAUUUUUUUUUUCAAGAUCCUGAAAGAGUUAGUAAUAUUAGUUCUGCAUCCGUCAAAAUAUGUCUUUCUAAAAACCUGUGAAAAUACAGCCUGAGGUUUUUGUGC
rnacentral:lncRNA from 1 species